UACGUAGGGACCAAGCGUUGUUCGGAUUUACUGGGCGUAAAGGGCGCGUAGGCGGCGUGGUAAGUCACUUGUGAAAUCUCUGAGCUUAACUCAGAACGGCCAAGUGAUACUGCUGUGCUAGAGUGCAGAAGGGGCAAUCGGAAUUCUUGGUGUAGCGGUGAAAUGCGUAGAUAUCAAGGGGAACACCUGCGGCGAAGGCGGGUUGCUGGGCUGACACUGACGCUGAGUGCGCGAAAGCCAGGGGAGCGAACGGG
rnacentral:rRNA from 1 species